UCCUUCUAUGGUGGGAGUGAGGUAUCUUCCAGGAGGACAUCCCUGUGCUCCAAAGGCAACUUGGGCAACCAGGGAAAUGGGAGAAACUUCACUGAACCUCYACAUUCUAAAAAGGUACCAAGUUUCAUUAUCCUGGAUGAAACCACUAACUGCUCAAGCACCAUAUGAAGGAUCCAGGACUACUCCUGAAGAAGUAUAAGAGUAAACUUACAUACUUUCAAAAGAUGGUGCUUAGACAUCCAUCUAUCUUUAGGAAAGAAUCUUGGACUGAGAUUUCUCAAGCAGGAGGAGGCUUCUCUCUGUUUAGUCAUCUAAUACCCCAAUAGAGUUUAAGAUUAAAGACCUACCCUUGCUCAUGAUGUUUGCUAGUGGCUGUUUA